rnacentral:rRNA from 1 species
AACGAACGCUGGCGGCAGGCCUAACACAUGCAAGUCGAACGUGAAGCUUCUUUCGGGAAGUGGAAAGUGGCGCACGGGUGAGUAACGCGUGGGAAUCUACCCUGGUGUGGGGGAUAACCGCUGGAAACGGCGGCUAAUACCGCAUACGCCCAGUUCUGGAGACAGGGUUGGGAAAGCUUUAUGCGCACUGGGAUGAGCCCGCGUUAGAUUAGGUAGUUGGUGGGGUAACGGCCUACCAAGCCUGCGAUCUAUAGCUGGUCUGAGAGGAUGAUCAGCCACACUGGGACUGAGACACGGCCCAGACUCCUACGGGAGGCAGCAGUGGGAAUAUUGGACAAUGGGGGCAACCUGAUCCAGCCAUGCCGCGUGCGUGAAGAAGGCCUUAGGGUUGUAAAGCGCUUUCACUGGUGAAGAUGAUGACGGUAGCCAGAGAAGAA